AUCAAAGAUUAAACAAUUAUUCAUAAUUAAAAUGCUAAAACUAAUUGCAAGUAAUGAAAUGAUAGAAUGAUAAAAAUCAACAAUAUUCAUAUAUGACAAAACCACAACCAGACCUCUUCUCCUCCGCCACACCGACAUUGCCAAACAUGAAAUUAAAUCCACCAUCCGAAUCACCUCUAACUCUACACUCAAAAUCCAUCAACCAUUGAACCUAAUUUCAAAUCUAUCAAUCAAAUCGAAACAGAAAAUGCAUGAAACCUAAUCUACAAAACCAGAAAUUAAAUGAAGAUAACGAUGAAUCAAAGCCUCUCAUGAGAGGGCUUUGAUUCCAGGAACCACGAACUACAUCAUGGUAUCGUCCUCGAAGCCAAACGAAGCUGAAUAAAACACCUACCUACCGUAGAAGAUGACUUAUACGGCGGAGACGGCACCGGAAUCCACAGGUUCAAACAAGCUUCUGACUUGGCUCAUGUUGUUAUAAACCUUGACGGUAGCUUGUAAUUUCGGGCUUGGUUUCAUGUAGAAGGUCUUGGUUUUUGGUUACAUGGUUCUGCAGCAGGUCUGCAAUAUGGUGAAUGGUUUCUGAUGUAGCAGGGUGUAUUGCUUCAUGGAAUGUUUUAGGUUUGCAUUGUAGCUUGUGAUUUCUGCAGGUGUAUCAUGUAUGUGUUGCUUCAUGUUGUGUUCUGCAGCAUAUGUGCAGUAGGGCAUGGUUUCAUGUAGUGGACAAUGGUGGUUGAACACAAAUGGUCAAGUUUGAAUUUGAAGCCUCAAUGUACAAAUGGCCAACCAAAGAUCAAGAUGGAUACUUUGAAGAUUUGGAAAGGAGUUUAGGGUUUUAGGAUGGAAAAAAAAGUUGGGUUGACUUUGGUCAAAGUUGACCAAAAAGUCAAUUGUUGACUAAAGUCAACAUUUGGUCCACAUAUAAUUUUUUGCAUUUUUUAUAAUGAACAAUGUAUGAUGGAUUGUAAUGAUGGAAUUGGCCAUUUGAAUGAAAAUGAAUUAGUUUUUGAA